rnacentral:rRNA from 1 species
GACAGAGGGUGCAAACGUUGUUCGGAAUUACUGGGCGUAAAGCGCGUGUAGGCGGCUCGGCAAGUCGGGUGUGAAAGCCCUGGGCUUAACCUAGGAAGUGCACUCGAAACUGCCAAGCUUGAGUUCUGGAGAGGAAGGCGGAAUUCUCGGUGUAGAGGUGAAAUUCGUAGAUAUCUGGAGGAACACCGGAGGCGAAGGCGAAUCACUGGACCGCUUCUGACGCUGAGGCGCGAAAGCUAGGGGAGCAAACAGG